rnacentral:rRNA from 1 species
CGCGGCCUAUCAGCUUGUUGGUGGGGUGAUGGCCUACCAAGGCGUCGACGGGUAGCUGGUCUGAGAGGACGAUCAGCCACACUGGGACUGAGACACGGCCCAGACUCCUACGGGAGGCAGCAGUGGGGAAUCUUGCCCAAUGGGCGAAAGCCUGAGGCAGCAACGCCGCGUGGGGGAUGACGGCUUUCGGGUUGUAAACCCCUUUCAGCAGGGACGAAGUUGACGGUACCUGCAGAAGAAGCCCCGGCCAACUACGUGCCAGCAGCCGCGGUAAUACGUAGGGGGCGAGCGUUGUCCGGAUUUAUUGGGCGUAAAGAGCUCGUAGGCGGCUCGGUGAGUCGGAUGUGAAAUCUCCAAGCUCAACUUGGAGAGGCCAUUCGAUACUGCUGUGGCUUGAGUCCGGUAGAGGAGCAUGGAAUUCCCGGUGUAGCGGUGAAAUGCGCAGAUAUCGGGAGGAACACCAGUAGCGAAGGCGGUGCUCUGGGCCGGUACUGACGCUGAGGAGCGAGAGCGUGGGGAGCGAACAGAAUUAGAUACCCUGGUAGUCCACGCUGUAAACGUUGGGCACUAGGUGUGGGGUCCUAUCGACGGGUUCCGUGUCGUAGCUAACGCUUUGAGUGCCCCGCCUGGGGAGUACGG